CAGCAACUCAAAAGUCAGUUAGAGUCUGUGGUAGCCAGAAAGUCUGUGGUAGCCAGAAAGGAGGUUAGGAAGCAGCUUGCAUUGGGACGUAUGGUGGGAUCCCCUUGAUUCUCCUUCUAGUCCCGAUUUUCAUUUAUCCCCAUUGGGGAUCGUCCCUAAGAAAGCCCCAUAUAAUUCCAUCUGAUCCAUAUUUAUCGCACCCCAAAGGCACCUCAGUGAAUGAUGCUAUCCCUCCGGAAUUGUUCCGUGAAAUAUGCAUCUUUGGAUCAGGCAGUUGAGCUUACCAACAAAUUGGAGGAGGUGCCUUGUUGGCAUUAUGCGAUAUUGAAUUGGCUGUUAGGCUGCUGCCGGUUCACCCUCAAGAUUUUAAGUAGUUAGGCUUUAAUUGGAUGGUCCUUAUAUGGAUAAGGCGUUGCCAGUUGUUUGCUCAAUAGGCUGUGCAGCACUUGAGUCCUUUAGCGCCUUUCUGGAUUGAACAUUGCGAGUCAAGACUCGUUUAACUGGGGGUAUCGUUAUGUGGAUUAUUUUACUGGCUGGUUCAUGUGACACCAGCCUCUGCUUAGCUUACUAGAUGCCCCUUUAUUCCCUGAGGAGCUGGGUGUUCUGUUGGCAGUGGAGGACAGUGGCUCCUACUGCCCCUUUUAAUGUAUUUGGGGGCUAGCUGGAUACCGUUGCUCAAACAUCUGCUUGCCUGUGGAAAAGCUGUUUGCCUUGAAGGAUGUUAUUCUUGUAAUACUUCCUCUGAAGCAAGUGUUGCUUUGUCAGAUCCUAUCAUUCCUAGGUCAGUUAAAUUUUGCAUGCAGGGUGGUUGCUCCAGGCUGCCCCUUCCAUUCCUGCUUGGCCAGGUGGUCUCAUGGCCCAGUGUCCCUUCAUCAUCAUGUACAGUGGCCUUGAGCCUGGCAGGGCAAGGCAAUCACAUGUAACCUAACUUUUCUUGAGUUUUCCUCAUUGUAGUGUCAGCGCACAUCUGGACUGAGGAGUUUAGGGACCGUCAGGUAUGUCUUGGUCUGAUAACCAGGCAGUGUGAGAGUCCUGGCAAAACGGUCUUCAUGCUCUGGCAGAGUCUUUGCACUGCUUAAGGUUUAAUAUUGCGUUUCUGCUCACUUUAUUUCGGGAUCAUCUAAUGUUUUUGCUGUGGCUCUAUCCCGUUUUUUCAGUUGGAAAGCUUCAGAUCCUGGGCUCUGGACACCCAGCUAUUUUUCUGGAGCUCCUGUGGCACUUGGCAACAAUUAAUAAUUAUGAGGAAUAGUAGCUUACGUUUCCCCAUCCGCUUUCAGGUCUUAUGAGAAGGCCUGGACUGAUUUCUUAAAAUUUAGCUGGUAGUCCUCGGCCAUUCAGAGGAACCUGCCCCCAUCCUCUGAGCAGGACCUGCAGUAAUUCGCCCACCUGCUGCAGAUAGGAUACAGUGUUAAAACUAUCAGAAUUCAGUCCGCUGCAAUUUCUGCUAGAGUAAAGCUUUAAUUUUCAGAGACCCUUCUAAAAGUGUGUCAUGCGCAGGGUCUCGGAAGGUUGGAAUAGGCUCUGACCUUCACAGGACAGCAGGCAGGAAGCCGGUCAAUCUUUGACCUAUGCAGUAUCUGCAACAAGUUGAGACUUGUUGGCUGGUUCAAGAUCAAGACGAGACUUAUUUCAGUAUUCCAUUGUAAUUUUGGUGUACUGAGGGUUGGGGAAAUUGUGUUGGAGCCAGCACGGGGCUGAGAGUUUGGAGGCUUAUUGCCUCAGGACUUUUCCUUAUCUGCUUUGGAGCUUGUCAUAAGUGUCUGGAGCUCUAAGUCAGACCUAGUGAGCAGGGUUGCCACCAUCAGGCUUCCAGUCACAGGUGAGGUGGGCCCUUGCCCUGUUAUUGGAUACCGGAAAUAUUUGGCUUUUCGUUCCCCUGGGGGCUGGCUCGAUCCUAGUGCACAGAAAUGGGUUCCGGUUCGACAGGCAUCUAAUUGCUCACGUCGUGCGCCAGUUAUUGCAGCCUGCAGCUUGCCUACCGCUGAACACGCCUCAUUCCUUCCAAAUAGGUGCUGCUGCAGAGGGUGCGCAUUGGGGCCUGUUAGUGGACAGGAUUGUGAAUACGGGUCAUUGGAAGUCUGACGCUGACAAAGGUUAUGUCAGGAAGCAUCGCCAAUGAUGCCUGUGCUGAUGCCUGUCUGUUAUUCCUUUUUUCAUAGGAGCAGCUGUGCGCAUUUGGAUUGUCGGCCACAGCAUCAUGCACUGAGCUGGCAAGCACCCUGACGAGUCUGGACUGGGGGCGCCAUCUCGGCCUUCCUGCCCAUGUUUCUAGCUCCAGUCCGCAUCUGGAUAGUGGGGCACAGCAUCGUUUACUGGGCUGGCAUCAGAGCUAGGCAGUCUGGAAGGGGACUGGGUCUUGGCCUCCCGCAGCAUGUGCAGGUGUUGUGGAUGUCCAGGCGCAGAAUGCAGUGGAGCGAAUUCAUCCCGCUAAUUAAGCAGAGGGUGCUUUCGGAUGCCCCCCCCCAUGGCAAUUGUGGUUCAGCUGGGGGAGAACGAUGUGGCAACUUAUGAUUGCUUUACUUUGCGCUCCACGAUUCAGAGAGACUUGGGUGAAUUGGUGACCUUAAUACCCACAGUUAAAAUAUUUUGGUCACAAUUGCUGCAAAGGCGCAAUUGGCACGGCAUUUCUCGACCUGAGGCUGCUGAAAGGGCCAGGAAGCGCAUUAAUUCUGCAGUGUGUAAGAAGGUGGCGGAAUUGGGUGGGUUGGUUAUUUCCCGCCCGGAUAUUACCUUCAAGGCUCUGGCCCUUUACCGCAAUGAUGGAGUACAUCUCUCUGUACUGGGGAAUGAUGUUUGGUUGGAUGCGGUAACUGCAAGGUUGAAGGUUGGGUUGGGAUUGUGAGUGGUUGGCGGCGAGCGAAAAGGGCUCGAUUGGCGGUUAGGCAUUGGUUAUAAAUUGGUGGAGGAGGGGUUAGGAUAGGCUGGGCCUGCCCCUCCAUGGUUGCUGCGGAAAGGGAAUUCCGUUAAAGGAAUCCUGGGGCUUGCCAUCUUUUCGUCCAAUCCCUGGAAUGGGACUAGGGCCGGCAAGCCUUCGGGGAGCAUGCGGAUGAGAAUUGAGGGUCUGUGACCCAGCUCCAUUUCUCUCCGACUUGCUUUCCCCCGCACUGUCUUUCGGUGGUGCCCGGAAGUCAGUUCUGUCCCCAGGCGGGGGGACAGAUAGUCUUAACCAAUGCCUAAACAACCACUCACAGUUUUGUAUUUAAAUAAAGUUGUGGCCAAAAUUAUGCCAAAAACCUUAAACAAAAAUUAAGUGUGCGUUGUGAGUUAUUUGGGGGGUGGCUUGGGGACC
rnacentral:lncRNA from 1 species